rnacentral:lncRNA from 1 species
AACACUCCACAUAGUUUUCUUAGAACUGUUGUCUUCUUUAUUGUGCAGAGGUGAAGACGAAGGUUGAUUGGAGUUGGUUCACUUUAAGAGAUAGUUUUAUACUUUACUAAUGUUGUACGCUUAUAUAAAUCUAGGAGUUAUAAGUUGACUUGGGAUAGUAAAUAAUAAAGUUUCAUCCAAAAAAGCAUUUAGCUAAAUUCAAAGUGCCAUUGCUUACAAUAUGAAGAAACCUAGUGCAAUGUAGCCCAGCAUACUGUGCAAAAGAGGGGAGGGGAACAGUACGAAUGAAAUCUGAUAAAAAGGCAGAGUAGAUAGUGUAAAAGAAAAAGGAAAGUGGAAGGUCUCAAGCUGUGUUAGCUGGUGAGUCUUCACGAUCCCUUUUGACUUUACUUUCUCUGUCGUUUAUCCGUUCAAUUAAUAUUAUUCUCUUAAGGGGCUAUCUUGGUAACAACUUUUGGUGGAACUCGGAACCAAAAUGAGCCACAAAAU